CAGGCCAGAGGGGAUCAGAUCCUGCCCAGCCUGCCCCACCAGAGGACAGGACAGCUGUUUACAGGUUGACACUAGUGUCUAUUCCUGGGAUUCUCUGAAGGAGGACUUCAGGAGUCUGCUGGCAUGCGAAGAGGACCACCAUCCCUGACAGACAGAGACUGGGCCCAAGGUGAGGCAGGUCAGGCAGUAGCCUCCAGUCUCCACAGAUCUGCCCAGAAGUGGCAGAAUGAGAUGAAUUUAAAGGUUGAUGGAAAGUCUGAAGUGUAGCGAGGGAGGGAGAGUCUCAGGGGGACGUCGUCAUAGCUUCCUGACAUGGAGCCACGGGCCACAAACCUGUGGUGGCUUCAGACAGCCUGUCCCCACCACCUCUCUCUCCACUCAGCUCUACUCUUCUCCGCUCGGCUAAAAUCAAAGCCAUGCCUUUUUGGAGACAUUGUGCCGGCUGUAAACGUUCCCCAUCUUCACGUGCGAGAGAGAGAGUCUUUCAUGUCGACUGUGGUUUCUAUUUGAAAAAAAGAGAACAGAAGGACACAUGUGUAAAGUCUUUCAUGUUUCCCAAAGGCGGUACCACCUCAUAUAUCCGGUUGUAUCCAUUUUUAUCCUUUUGUACUGGAGAGGACGUGGGGCUGCAAAUCGUUGUCCGUCCGUCCGUCCGUCCGUCCCCCACCACUCCUAACAGAGUUGCAGCCAAGUUGUGGGUUGAAAUGCUAUUCUCUACCUCCCCACCUGCCAGACCUGGAGUCUCCCUGAGAGCCUGUAUGGAGCUCUCCUAAUGUGUCAUGCCCAGACUGCCUGUACUAUCACAGCAAUCAUGUACUACCACGGUUUAAAUAAUGGAUCAGCCUCUUUAGAGAAUACCUUACAACCAUGUAUUCAAGGUAGAGCAGACACUUCCAUUAGGACGGAAAGGUUUGAGGUUAACCUUAUCAUCAGGACUGAACCAUAUAGGCCUAACUACAGCAUUGUUUGGCCUCCUUCCCCUUUCAAUCUACCCACUUCUCAAAGCAUGUUCCCCUUUAGUGUUGCUAGCAGCAACCUGAAUCCUUCGCCUUCUCAUGUACCCUUGAUGUUUUAUGGAGUAAAAGCAGGCCAAUAAAAGAGAAUUUGUCCAAAACGGGCUCAUACGACACAGAGGGAAAAGAUGUUUAAAACAGAUUUUUUAUAUUUG
ensembl:lncRNA